GAUUCCUACGGGGGGCAGCAGUGGGGGAUAUUGCACAAUGGGGGGAACCCUGAUGCAGCGACGCCGCGUGGGUGAAGAAGCGCCUCGGCGCGUAAAGCCCUGUCAGCAGGGAAGAAAAUGACGGUACCUGAAGAAGAAGCCCCGGCUAACUACGUGCCAGCAGCCGCGGUAAUACGUAGGGGGCAAGCGUUAUCCGGAAUUACUGGGUGUAAAGGGAGCGUAGACGGUUAAGUAAGUCUGGAGUGAAAGGCCGGGGCCCAACCCCGGGACUGCUCUGGAAACUAUUGAACUUGAGUGCAGGAGAG
rnacentral:rRNA from 1 species